CGGCUCUGCCUCUGAGGGCCUCUGUGCCUGGCCCGUCUCUACAGCAAGCGGGGUCCAAGGGGAAUCUCACCCCCAUUCAGCCAGAAGACCCUCUGAGUCUGAGUCUGAGCUGGAGGCCCAGCCCUCCUUCCAUCUGGGAAGCUGCGGUGGGGGUCACCGGGAACCUCCCUCCCACGCACACCCUCUGCGGUUGCGGCCUCCCUGUCUCCCUGGUGCCCCGAGGGGCCAUGUGCCCUCGGGGAUGACUACCGGGCCAUCAGCGAGAGCAAGCAGCUGCCGAGCACUAAACCCCGUUUCUGGCCGUGAAGAGCAGGUCCUCCGAAGAACCUGGGCAUCCGGGCACUGUUACCAGGACAAAGGCAUCGAUCUCGGCUGAGAGAACGCUGAGAUGUAUUGACAGAGAGGUUUGCAUCGAUCCAGCAGGAAGUAAGCGGUGUGUGGUCACCUGCCCGGGAAUGAGACCCACUCCGUACGAGAGACGAGGGGGCUACAGACGACGGGGAGGCUCGGGGCUCCGAGGCUGCAGGACCCCCGGCCUGGGGUCACCGAGACAGCCUCCUUCCCCAGGAUGAGCAGAGCGGCUGCAGAGUGGUGGGGAGAGGCCGCCCACGGAGGGGUGGGCGUGGACACGGCAUGGCCCUGCCUGGCCCACCCACAGGGAGACACGCGGUGGAGCCCCCGGGGGUCUCCCAGGACCAGCUCCUCCCACCCCGACCUCAGGGGAAGAGCUGUGGUCAUGGAAACCGCUCCAUCGUCUGAAUUUCAGAGCUGGGAAUAUUUGAGUCAAUCAAGAAAUUCAAUUAGCGGAGUGACAUGUUGUCACGCGUGGCUCUGCCGCCCCGCUUCCCAUUUUCCGGGAGAUAAUUGGUGUAUUUGCGACAAAACUGCAAUUCAAUAUUUAUCGGCUGCUGCUUUUCAAUAAAG
ensembl:lncRNA